CUGGUUGUACGGAGGUAUCCAUUUCAAUACCUUUAUCAGAUUUUCAGUCAUCAACUCGUGAAAGGGUAAUUAAAAAGUGCAUGUAAAACUUCUCUGUUCAUAUCUGUGAAAGAAUUUGAUUGCAGAAAAGGGAAAAUCUUAUUAUCAAAUAAGUUACCUCAAUUUGUUUAAAGUUUGAACACAAGGAAACAAUUUGUGGCCGUAGAUCAAGAAGCUUUCAAGAGAACGUGCACUUAUUCCCCAUCUUCUCUCUCAGAUUUCACAUUCAGAUUCAUGGUCUUCUCCCUCAAAUCAGAUUCAAAUUAGUCGUCU